AAAAACUCCGGUGGUAUGAGAUGGACCCGCGUCUGAUUAGCUAGUUGGUGAGGUAACGGCCCACCAAGGCGACGAUCAGUAGCCGGCCUGAGAGGGCGACCGGCCACAUUGGGACUGAGACACGGCCCAAACUCCUACGGGAGGCAGCAGUGGGGAAUAUUGCACAAUGGGGGAAACCCUGAUGCAGCGACGCCGCGUGAGUGAAGAAGUAUUUCGGUAUGUAAAGCUCUAUCAGCAGGGAAGAAGAAAGACGGUACCUGACUAAGAAGCCCCGGCUAACUACGUGCCAGCAGCCGCGGUAAUACGUAGGGGGCAAGCGUUAUCCGGAUUUACUGGGUGUAAAGGGAGCGUAGACGGCUGUGCAAGUCUGAAGUGAAAGCCCAGGGCUCAACCCUGGGACUGCUUUGGAAACUGUGGAGCUAGAGUGCUGGAGAGGUAAGUGGAAUUCCUAGUGUAGCGGUGAAAUGCGUAGAUAUUAGGAGGAACACCAGUGGCGAAGGCGGCUUACUGGACAGUAACUGACGUUGAGGCUCGAAAGCGUGGGGAGCAAACAGGAUUAGAUACCCUGGUAGUCCACGCGGUAAACGAUGAAUACUAGGUGUUGGAGAGCAAGGCUUUUCG
rnacentral:rRNA from 1 species